rnacentral:rRNA from 1 species
AGUGAACGCUGGCGGUAGGCCUAACACAUGCAAGUCGAACGGCAGCACAGUAAGAUCUUGCUCUUACGGGUGGCGAGUCGCGUACGGGUGAGGAAUACAUCGUACUCUACUUUUUCGUGGGGGAUAACGUAAGGAAACUUACGCUAAUACCGCAUACGACCUACCGUUGAAAGCAGGGGAUCUUCGGACCUUGCGCGAAUGAAUGAGCCGAUGUCGGAUUGGCUAGUUGGCGGGGUAAAUGCCCACCAAGUCGACGAUCCGUAGCUGGUCUGAGAGGAUGAUAGGCCACACUGGAACUGAGACACGGUCCAGACUCCUAAGGGAGGCAGCAGUGGGGAAUAUUGGACAAUGGGCGCAAGCCUGAUACAGUCAUACCGCGUGGGUGAAGAAGGCCUUCGGGUUGUAAAGCCCUUUUGUUGGGAAAGAAAAGCAGCAGGUUAAUACCCAGCUGUUCUGACGGUACCCAAAGAAUAAGCACCGGCUAACUUCGUG